CAGCAGGCGCGAAAACUUUACAAUGCCGGCAACGGCGAUAAGGGAACCUCGAGUGCCAGGUUACAAAUCUGGCUGUCGUGAUGCCUAAAAAGCAUUGCAUAGCAAGGGCCGGGCAAGACCGGUGCCAGCCGCCGCGGUAACACCGGCGGCCCGAGUGGUAACCGUUAUUAUUGGGUCUAAAGGGUCUGUAGCCGGCCGGGUAAGUCUCUUGGGAAAUCUGGCAGCUUAACUGUCAGGCUUUCAGGAGAUACUGCCUGGCUCGAGGCCGGGAGAGGUGAGAGGUACUUCAGGGGUAGGGGUGAAAUCUUGUAAUCCUUGAAGGACCACCAGUGGCGAAGGCGUCUCACCAGAACGGACCUGACGGCAAGGGACGAAAGCUAGGGGCACGAACCGGAUUAGAUACCCGGGUAGUCCUAGCCGUAAACGAUACUCGCUAGGUGUCGGCCACGGUGCGACCGUGGUCGGUGCCGUAGGGAAGCCGUGAAGCGAGCCACCUGGGAAGUACGGCCGCAAGGCUGAAACUUAAAGGAAUUGGCGGGGGAGCACAAGGGCGAAUUCGCG
rnacentral:rRNA from 1 species